rnacentral:rRNA from 1 species
UACGAAGGGGGCUAGCGUUGCUCGGAAUCACUGGGCGUAAAGGGUGCGUAGGCGGGUCUUUAAGUCAGGGGUGAAAUCCUGGAGCUCAACUCCAGAACUGCCUUUGAUACUGAAGAUCUCGAGUCCGGGAGAGGUGAGUGGAACUGCGAGUGUAGAGGUGAAAUUCGUAGAUAUUCGCAAGAACACCAGUGGCGAAGGCGGCUCACUGGCCCGGUACUGACGCUGAGGUGCGAAAGCGUGGGGAGCAAACAGG